AUGGUGCUCCACUGUGACAUCAAGGCAAGCAACGUGAUGCUGGACUCGAGUUUCCGUGGCCGACUCGGGGACUUCGGCUUGGCCUGCAUUGUCGAUGUCAACAGGAACUCUGCCACCGGCAUUGGUGGGACACGGGGAUACAUGGCGCUGGAGUAUGCUCUGAGUGGCAAGGCAACGCGGCAGACAGACAUCUUCGCGCUCGGGGUGCUCAUCCUCGAGGUUGUCACGGGCCAGCGGGCGCUGAUUCACCGGGCCUCGGAUGACGACGACGUCCAUAUCACAGAUCGAGUGUGGCGCCUCCACCGUGAGGGGAGGCUAACGGAGUGCGUGGAUCCCGUCGUGCUCGCUGCUUUUUCCGAGGACGACGAGCAGCUGGCCCUGGACGUCUGCGAUGAUUUGCGACGCCUGCUGCUCCUUGGCUUGGCGUGUAGCAACCCCAACCCGUUGGAUCGCCCGAAUAUGCCCGAGGUGGUGCGGAUCAUCGCCAAGUCGGCGCCACCGCCGGAGGUGCCUCUAAUGAAGCCAAGGUUCGUGUGGCCGCCGCCAGAAGGGGAGGACUCGGAUGGUGACGAUAGUGCAGGCCCAUCGAGGAUGAGUAAUCUUGACGGGAGUGCGGCGAGCACAAGCGAGCUGCAAUGGCACACUCAGAUUAGCUUGGAGACGACCACGGCGCAGGCCUCCGGCGGACAUGCCUCGUUUCAACUGGAGCACUCUGUUUAUGUCAGCGCACCCGGUGGUCUUGCCUCCGAGAUAAUUCUGAGCGGGAUGUAG
rnacentral:rRNA from 1 species